rnacentral:lncRNA from 1 species
GUCUGUGAUGUUUUAGAAGAAAGUGACUUUUGAAGAUGUAGCUAUUGACUUCACCCAGGAAGAGUGGGCCAUGAUGGACACAUCCAAGAGAAAGCUGUACAGAGAUGUGAUGCUGGAAAAUAUCAGUCACCUGGUGUCCGGUACCAGAUAAGCAAAUCCUAUAUAAUUUUGCAGCUGGAGCAAGGAAAAGAGCUGUGGCAGGAAGGAAGAGAAUUUCUUCAAGACCAGAACAGACAGGGAAAGUGCCCUUAAGAAAACACACAUGAUAUCCAUGCAUCCUAUCAUCAGAAAAGAUGCACCCACCAGUAUGACAGGAGAACUCUCUCAUUCUGGAGGAUCCUUUUGAAUGUAAUGAUUCGGGAGAAGAUUGCACUCACAGUUCCACAAUAAUUCAGUGUUUGUUAACUCAUAGUGGAAAGAAACCCUAUGUCAGCAAACAGUGUGGAAAAUCCCUUAGUAAUCUUUUGUCCCCUAAACCACAUAAACAAAUUCAUACUAAAGGUAAAUCAUAUCAAUGUAAUCUAUGUGAAAAGGCCUAUACUAAUUGCUUUCACCUUAGACGGCCCAAGAUGACUCACACUGGAGAGAGGCCAUAUACAUGUCAUCUAUGUAGAAAAGCCUUCACUCAGUGUUCUCACCUUAGAAGACAUGAGAAAACUCACACAGGAGAGAGACCAUAUAAGUGUCAUCAAUGUGGGAAAGCCUUUAUUCAAUCCUUUAACCUUCGAAGACAUGAGAGAACUCACCUUGGAGAAAAGUGGUAUGAAUGUGAUAACAGUGGGAAAGCCUUUAGUCAAAGCUCUGGCUUUAGAGGAAACAAAAUAAUUCACACUGGAGAGAAACCACAUGCUUGUCUUCUAUGUGGGAAGGCCUUCAGUCUGUCUUCCGACCU